rnacentral:rRNA from 1 species
CUUAACACAUGCAAGUCGAGCGCCCCGCAAGGGGAGCGGCAGACGGGUGAGUAACGCGUGGGAAACUACCCUAUGGUACGGAAUAACACAGAGAAAUUUGUGCUAAUACCGUAUGUGUCCUUCGGGAGAAAGAUUUAUCGCCAUAGGAUGUGCCCGCGUCGGAUUAGCUAGUUGGUGAGGUAAUGGCCCACCAAGGCGACGAUCCGUAGCUGGUCUGAGAGGAUGAUCAGCCACAUUGGGACUGAGACACGGCCCAAACUCCUACGGGAGGCAGCAGUGGGGAAUAUUGGACAAUGGGCGCAAGCCUGAUCCAGCCAUGCCGCGUGAGUGAUGAAGGCCUUAGGGUUGUAAAGCUCUUUCGCUCGCGAGGAUAAUGACGGUAGCGAGAGAAGAAGCCCCGGCUAACUUCGUGCCAGCAGCCGCGGUAAUACGAAGGGGGCUAGCGUUGUUCGGAAUCACUGGGCGUAAAGCGCUCGUAGGCGGAUAUUUAAGUCAGAGGUGAAAGCCUGGGGCUCAACUCCAGAACUGCCUUUGAUACUGGGUAUCUUGAGUCCGGUAGAGGUGAGUGGAACUGCUAGUGUAGAGGUGAAAUUCGUAGAUAUUAGCAAGAACACCAGUGGCGAAGGCGGCUCACUGGACCGGUACUGACGCUGAGGAGCGAAAGCGUGGGGAGCAAACAGGAUUAGAUACCCUGGUAGUCCACGCUGUAAACGAUGGAAGCCAGCCGUUGGGCAGCAUGCUGUUCGGUGGCGCAGCUAACGC